CCUACGGGAGGCAGCAGUGAGGAAUAUUGGUCAAUGGGCUUACGCCUGAACCAGCCAAGUCGCGUGAGGGAAGACUGCCCUAUGGGUUGUAAACCUCUUUUGUCAGGGAGCAAUUGGCGCUACGUGUAGCGUUAUCGAGAGUACCUGAAGAAAAAGCAUCGGCUAACUCCGUGCCAGCAGCCGCGGUAAUCCGGAGGAUGCGAGCGUUAUCCGGAUUUAUUGGGUUUAAAGGGUGCGUAGGCGGAAUGCCAAGUCAGCGGUAAAAUCGCGGGGCUCAACCUCGCUCCGCCGUUGAAACUGGCGUGCUUGAGUGGGCGAGAAGUAUGCGGAAUGCGUGGUGUAGCGGUGAAAUGCAUAGAUAUCACGCAGAACUCCGAUUGCGAAGGCAGCAUACCGGCGCCCAACUGACGCUGAAGCACGAAAGCGUGGGUAUCGAACAGGAUUAGAUACCCCUGUAGUC
rnacentral:rRNA from 1 species